rnacentral:rRNA from 1 species
GAUCAUGGCUCAGGAUGAACGCUAGCUACAGGCUUAACACAUGCAAGUCGAGGGGCAGCAUGGUCUUAGCUUGCUAAGGCCGAUGGCGACCGGCGCACGGGUGAGUAACGCGUAUCCAACCUGCCUUACACUCUUGGACAGCCUUCUGAAAAGGGGAGAUUUAAAUACCAAGAUGUUAUCAUGAGUAAGCAUUUUCGCAUGAUUAAAGGUUUACCGGUGUAAGAUGGGGAUGCGUU